GAUGAACGCUAGCGGCAGGCUUAAUACAUGCAAGUCGAGGGGGCAGCAAUGUCACCGGCGAACGGGUGCGUAACACGUAUGCAACCUACCUAUAUCAGGGGGAUAGCCCGAGGAAACUCGGAUUAAUACCGCAUAACAUUAGGAUCGGCAUCGAUUUUAAUUGAAAGAUUUAUUGGAUAUAGAUGGGCAUGCGUAGGAUUAGCUAGUUGGUAAGGUAACGGCUUACCAAGGCUACGAUCCUUAGGGGCUCUGAGAGGAGUAUCCCCCACACUGGCACUGGGGUACGGGCCAGACUCCUACGGGAGGCAGCAGUAGGGAAUAUUGGGCAAUGGGCGAAAACCUGACCCAGCCAUGCCGCGUGCAGGAAGACGGCCCUCUGGGUUGUAAACUGCUUUUGAAUGGGAAGAAAGGUAUGCUUGCGAGCGUAAUUGACGGUACCAUUAGAAUAAGCCACGGCUAACUACGUGCCAGCCGCCGCGGUAA
rnacentral:rRNA from 1 species